rnacentral:rRNA from 1 species
UGGGGAAUUUUGGACAAUGGGCGAAAGCCUGAUCCAGCAAUGCCGCGUGUGUGAAGAAGGCCUUCGGGUUGUAAAGCACUUUUGUCCGGAAAGAAAUCCUUGGCUCUAAUACAGUCGGGGGAUGACGGUACCGGAAGAAUAAGCACCGGCUAACUACGUGCCAGCAGCCGCGGUAAUACGUAGGGUGCAAGCGUUAAUCGGAAUUACUGGGCGUAAAGCGUGCGCAGGCGGUUUGCUAAGACCGAUGUGAAAUCCCCGGGCUCAACCUGGGAACUGCAUUGGUGACUGGCAGGCUAGAGUAUGGCAGAGGGGGGUAGAAUUCCACGUGUAGCAGUGAAAUGCGUAGAGAUGUGGAGGAAUACCGAUGGCGAAGGCAGCCCCCUGGGCAAUACUGACGCUCAUGCACGAAAGCGUGGGGAGCAAACAGGAUUAGAUACCCUGGUAGUCCACGCCCUAAACGAUGUCAACUAGUUGUUGGGGAUUCAUUUCCUUAGUAACGUAGCUAACGCGUGAAGUUGACCGCCUGGGGAGUACGGUCGCAAGAUUAAAACUUAAAGGAAUUGACGGGGUCAUAGCUG